rnacentral:tRNA from 1 species
GGUAGGAUGACUGAAAUAGUGGUGGGUUGUAGCCCCAUAGAUAGAGGUUCGAGCCCUCUUCCUUCCA